GACGAACGCUGGCGGCGUGCUUAACACAUGCAAGUCGAACGGAAAGGCCCUGCUUUUGUGGGGUGCUCGAGUGGCGAACGGGUGAGUAACACGUGAGUAACCUGCCCUUGACUUUGGGAUAACUUCAGGAAACUGGGGCUAAUACCGGAUAGGAGCUCCUGCUGCAUGGUGGGGGUUGGAAAGUUUCGGCGGUUGGGGAUGGACUCGCGGCUUAUCAGCUUGUUGGUGGGGUAGUGGCUUACAAAGGCUUUAACGGGUAGCCGGCCUGAGAGGGUGACCGGCCACAUUGGGACUGAGAUACGGCCCAGACUCCUACGGGAGGCAGCAGUGGGGAAUAUUGCACAAUGGGCGGAAGCCUGAUGCAGCAACGCCGCGUGCGGGAUGACGGCCUUCGGGUUGUAAACCGCUUUCGCCUGUGACGAAGCGUGAGUGACGGUAAUGGGUAAAGAAGCACCGGCUAACUACGUG
rnacentral:rRNA from 1 species